rnacentral:rRNA from 1 species
GACGAACGCUGGCGGCGUGCUUAACACAUGCAAGUCGAACGAAGUGGCGAACGGGUGAGUAACGCGUAAUCAACCUGCCCUUCGGAGGGGGACAACAGUUGGAAACGACUGCUAAUACCGCAUACUGAAGGAGGGGAUUGCGUCGGAUUAGCUAGUUGGGGGGGUAACGGCCCACCAAGGCGAACAUCAGUAGCCGGGCUGGGGGGGUGAACGGCCACAUUGGGAAUGGGACACGGCCCAGACUCCUACGGGAGGCAGCAGGGGGGAAUCUUCCGCAAUGGACGGAAGUCUGACUGAGCAACGCCGCGUGAGUGAUGACGGCCUUCGGGUUGUAAAGCUCUGUUAAUCGGGACGCGGUACCGGAAUAGAAAGCCACGGCUAACUACGUGCCAGCAGCCGCGGUAAUAC